rnacentral:rRNA from 1 species
CCUACGGGAUGCAGCAGUGGGGAAUCUUGCACAAUGGGCGAAAGCCUGAUGCAGCAACGCCGCGUGAAGGAAGAAGGGUUUCGGCUCGUAAACUUCUAUCAACAGGGAAGAAAGAAAUGACGGUACAUGAAUAAGAUGCCCAGGCUAACUACGUGGCAGCAGCCGCGGUAAUACGUAGGUGGAAAGCGUUAACCGGAAUUACUGGGUGUAAGGGGAGAGUAGGCGGCAUGGUAAGCCUGAUGUUAAAGCCUUGGGCUUAACCCGAGGAUUGCAUUUGGAACAGUCAAGAUUGAGUACAGGAGAGGAAAGCGGAAUUCCUAGUGUAGCGGUGAAAUGCGUAGAUAUUAGGAAGAACACCAGUGGCGAAGGCGGCUUUCUGGUCUGAAACUGACGCUGAGGAGCGAAAGCGUGGGUAGCAAACAGGAUUAGAUACCCUAGUAGUC